GCCCCACACAGGCCCCCGCAUCCUGGAAGCCGCUGUCUCCUUCGCCCUCGGCCUCCGCCAAGGUCUGUUCCGGGGUUGGGAGUGCGGUUACGGACCAUGUAGCUGCCUGACUUUGACUGUGAUCCUGCUCUCCUCUUUUCCUUACCCACUCAUCUCAGACGUCUCCUCCUCCUCCCGCCCGUGGUUGUCGUAGCGAGCAGGAGGCCGUUUUUCCAUGACUGGCUUCCAACUCCUCUUAAAGGUGCUAUUCUUAUCCUGCAGCUCUGUCACCCACCAUUCCCCGACCGGGCUUAUCUGAGAGGCUUCUGCUGCUCCCUUCCUCCCUGGAGCCUGAACCCCCACGGGGAGCCCCCGGAAAGGGUAACCACGAUCUCC